rnacentral:rRNA from 1 species
AUGACUGAGCGACAGGACAUCUAUGAGGAUAGUGGAAAGUUUGUUCAAAAGUUGGACAGCUCCUUUGUUCAACAUGUCAUCACAGUUUGUGAGUUUUCUUUAUCCCAGAUCAAGCAAUUUCCAUGGAUCAUUGCUUGGUUGCCAUGUGCCUUCCCUGAUUGUUCAAGAAUGAUUGCUGAUAAGUUUUGCAAUGUAACGAUUGUGCUGGUGUUCAGAUUGGGAAUUUCUGUUCAAUCCCUGUCCUGUUUUGCUGCUGCUAGGUAUGCUCCAAACAAGUUCAGGGGAAAAUCGCUUGGUCACUCUGCUAUGAUUUUUCUGUCCUCGACAACAUCUCAGUGUGCUUCUUAUGGAUGGCAAAGUCACAAAUGGAUUGCUAUGCUACUGGAGUAUGGUGAAUUACAAACGACCUUACUAGUUGAUGGUAUUCCUGUUUGGACAUUCUGUUUUGCUGCAACCAAUGAGCGAGGAAUCAUCGUUGCAAUCAGAAAACUACAAAUUCCUUGGGAUCCAGGUGACAGUCUUACUUUUGAUAUGAUCCAUCUGGCAGCAUACGUACAUCUUCUCCAAAUGUUGUUGAUGUUGCCAUGGGAUCCUGGUGGCUGUGCAAUUACCCCGGGAGAAGUGCAGGUUAAAUCUCUGUCCAUGCAACAUAUUAACAUUGAAGGAAGAACAUUGAGCAAGAGGACCAUAGUACAUGCUCUAUACUUGUGCCUUCCUUUGGGACCCCGGCGGUUUGGAAUGGUUCGGCUUGGGGGCAAGCCGAAAUUUAUGGUGGGCGGAUUGUCAGCAACCUACACUACUUCGACACUUGGGCCGGAUAAUGGGGUGCUGCUAUUGGACUUGGGCCGCUCAGAAGCCUUGGGGAGAUAUGCACUACAAAUACAAGGGAGAUGGCAUGGGUCAAUUUGGCUUGGACGGAACGGCCGCUUCGGCGGAGGCUAG